CCUCUUUCAUUUUAACUGUAAAUGUCAUAAUACUGUUUGCUUUUACUGCAAUAAAAUACACAUAUUUGUAUUCAGCAAUGUCUCACAUGUAAAACAGUACCCUUUAUGUACAGGUUUUAUGGUGUUUUGUGAAGUUCCAGGGUCAAAUAUAGUGUGGCGAAACCGACCUCACCACUGGGCAUUGGAGAAGACUGAUUGCCAGCCUCCUGCCAUGUGACUAUGGCCCCUGGGAUGUAUUGCCCUUUAAAGACAUGAUUUGGGCAUAAUGGAUUUGUGUUGUGUUGCUGCUGGCCCUUUUGGGAACCAUCUGGGGACAUACUGUGGAGUUACUGGAUGGCCACCAUUUCCUGUAUCAGAAGCACAUGGUGAGAACAAUGGAUGGCGGCCAUUUUAACUCACAGACACUGUGUGGACUUUUCAACACGGUGCCAUCUCGACAGUAUUUGUUGCACAGAGACAUCGUGCAUGGGUUUUGGACUAUACAGCAGGGGACACAUUAUACAGUGAUUGUUUUUUUUAUUUAGCCUGUAUAUGUUCUGCAGAAUCUGCAUUAAACUGUAUUUUCCAAAGUACUGAACGGAUCUGGGUGAAUUUUGGAUAUGUGGUUCACCCAGAUCCCCCAGUUCCAAGGAUAUACAUUUUAUGGGGUUAUUGCAUGUUUUGGGGUCCCUGUGAUGUGUUUUAUGAAACUGUAUUUCUCUGGCUGUGAUAAUUAGAUUACCC